UAUUUUUUUGUUUCCGUUAGGGUAACCUGCGGAACGAUCAUU
rnacentral:rRNA from 1 species